CAGCUUUUGUCAUGAGAGCAGCAGAGGUACCAAAACUGGAACGAUACAGAGAAGAUCAGCAUGGUUCCUGCACAGAAAUUCAUAGUGUUCCAUAUUUUU
ensembl:snRNA U6 U6 spliceosomal RNA